ACAGACAUAUGGAGGCUGACAAACCCGAAUGGUAUGAGAAUAUACAAUCUUCUCCCAUUGUCAUUAAUCACAUACUAGGAUAGAUUUCUUUUUAAUUGCAAGAUCCCUAAUAAACAAUGUAGUAACUUGUAAUAUAAAUACAUUUGCUCUAACGGAUCACGCAGCAGUGGAUUUAGGUAUUAACAUAGAUUGGGACUUGGAACAGAAAGGAAGGUGGAGGAUGAAUAUUUCUCUAAUACAACAUAAAAAUUUUAAACGGGUUUUGGGAAACGAUCUUAAGUCUUUCUUCAAGAUAAAUACUGACACCUCAAAAGCAUAAAUUAGAGGUAAACUGAUUGUCCAGGCAACUACAAAGAAGAGAGAUAAUUUGAAUAGAAUAAAAAAAUGGACAAUGAAAUUAAGAU